rnacentral:lncRNA from 1 species
CUCAAGGUAUUAGUCCAAAAGGAGGAAUGCUUCCUUGGGAGACACAAUGAUUCCAUCAAACUGGAAGUUAUGACUCCCACCAGGCCACAUUGAGUCCUUAGACUUCUGGAUCAACAGGCAAAGAGGCCAGCACUGUGGCUCACACCUGUAAUCCCAGAACUUUGGGAGGCCGAGGCAGGUGGAUCACUUGAGGUCAGGAGCUUGAGACCAGCCUGACCAACAUGGAGAAACCCCAUCUCUACUAAAAAUACAAAAUUAGCCGGGCAUGGUGGUGCAUGCCUGUAAUCCCAGCUACUCAGGAGGCAAGUCAGGAGAAUUGCUUGAACACAAGAGGCGGAGGUUGUGGUGAGCUGAGAUCGUGCCAUUGCACUCCAGCCUAGGGAACAAAAGCGAAACUCCGUCUCAAAAAAAAAAAAAGAAAAGAAAAGAAAAGAAAAGAAACAACAACAACAACAACAAAACAGGCAAAGAAAGGAGUCACUAUUCUGGCUAGGGUGAUUGUGGCUACUUCUUGGUAAUCACAAUCUCUGCAAUCAAGGUAAGGAGGAGGAUGUCUGGAAUACAAGAGAUCCCUUAGGGUGUCUCUUAUUACUACCAUGUCCUGUGAUUGAAGCCAAUGGAAAACUUUAACAACCCAACUGGGACAGGAAUGCAUGGCCCAGACCCUUCCAGAAUGAAGGUUUAGGUCACCCCACCAAGUAAAGAACCACCAUUGGCUGAGGUGUUUACUGAAAGCAAAUGGAAUAAUAGGUCAUAAAAGAAGAAAGUUAUAAAUAGCAGCUAUGACCAUGUGACCAGUUACAGGGAGUUUGGGAAACCGGAUGUCAGAUUCCAGCCACUGGGGAGUUGGAUUUCACCCUCUGUAGUCACUUUCAAGUCUAAAAUCCCACGAAGAACUGAAGUUGGGCAGGGAAAUUGAAAGUAAAAGUGAGGAAUGGAGAAGUUUCUGUGCCACAUUUGACGUGAAACUGAAAGUGAUCAUGUAUGUGUCCCUCCUGCUCCCAUAUGAUCUGGCACAGCGCCAUUCAGUUUUACAGAAGCUGAAGCUCAGUGCAGUAGCCUGGCUUGCCAGAAUGCACUCUUUCUUAACGGCUCACAUUUCCAUCCACAGCCCAGGUCUCUGCCCUCCCAGUUCAAUCCCUCACCCCAGUCCGUUAUUUUUAAGGCAUAUAAAGGAAACCAGAGACAGAAUCAAGUCAAAGCUGUUUUAUUAUCAUUCACAUUAUUUCAUAGAAAAAGGAAUAUAGCAAACGGUCACGGUCAGGGUUGUACAUAAAAAAUCCAGGUUUGUGG